AGUUUCCGUAGUGUAGUGGUUAUCACUUGAGUCUAACACACUCAAGGUCCCCGGUUCGAGCCCGGGCGGAACUU
rnacentral:tRNA from 1 species